rnacentral:rRNA from 1 species
ACGGUGGAUGCCUUGGCACUAGAAGCCGAUGAAGGACGUUACUAACGACGAUAUGCUUUGGGGAGCUGUAAGUAAGCUUUGAUCCAGAGAUUUCCGAAUGGGGAAACCCAGCAUGAGUUAUGUCAUGUUAUCGAUAUGUGAAUACAUAGCAUAUCAGAAGGCACACCCGGAGAACUGAAACAUCUUAGUACCCGGAGGAAGAGAAAGAAAAUUCGAUUCCCUUAGUAGCGGCGAGCGAAACGGGAAGAGCCCAAACCAACAAGCUUGCUUGUUGGGGUUGUAGGACACUCUAUACGGAGUUACAAAGGACGACAUUAGACGAAUCAUCUGGAAAGAUGAAUCAAAGAAGGUAAUAAUCCUGUAGUCGAAAAUGUUGUCUCUCUUGAGUGGAUCCUGAGUACGACGGAGCACGUGAAAUUCCGUCGGAAUCUGGGAGGACCAUCUCCUAAGGCUAAAUACUCUCUAGUGACCGAUAGUGAACCAGUACCGUGAGGGAAAGGUGAAAAGCACCCCGGAAGGGGAGUGAAAUAGAACCUGAAACCGUGUGCUUACAAGUAGUCAGAGCCCGUUAAUGGGUGAUGGCGUGCCUUUUGUAGAAUGAACCGGCGAGUUACGAUUUGAUGCAAGGUUAAGCAGUAAAUGUGGAGCCGUAGCGAAAGCGAGUCUGAAUAGGGCGUUUAGUAUUUGGUCGUAGACCCGAAACCAGGUGAUCUACCCUUGGUCAGGUUGAAGUUCAGGUAACACUGAAUGGAGGACCGAACCGACUUACGUUGAAAAGUGAGCGGAUGAACUGAGGGUAGCGGAGAAAUUCCAAUCGAACCUGGAGAUAGCUGGUUCUCUCCGAAAUAGCUUUAGGGCUAGCCUCAAGUGAUGAUUAUUGGAGGUAGAGCACUGUUUGGACGAGGGGCCCCUCUCGGGUUACCGAAUUCAGACAAACUCCGAAUGCCAAUUAAUUUAACUUGGGAGUCAGAACAUGGGUGAUAAGGUCCGUGUUCGAAAGGGAAACAGCCCAGACCACCAGCUAAGGUCCCAAAAUAUAUGUUAAGUGGAAAAGGAUGUGGCGUUGCCCAGACAACUAGGAUGUUGGCUUAGAAGCAGCCAUCAUUUAAAGAGUGCGUAAUAGCUCACUAGUCGAGUGACACUGCGCCGAAAAUGUACCGGGGCUAAACAUAUUACCGAAGCUGUGGAUUGUCCUUUGGACAAUGGUAGGAGAGCGUUCUAAGGGCGUUGAAGCAUGAUCGUAAGGACAUGUGGAGCGCUUAGAAGUGAGAAUGCCGGUGUGAGUAGCGAAAGACGGGUGAGAAUCCCGUCCACCGAUUGACUAAGGU